rnacentral:rRNA from 1 species
GACGAACGCUGGCGGCGUGCUUAACACAUGCAAGUCGAACGGGUCUGCCCUGUUUUUUGCGGGGUGGGUCAGUGGCGAACGGGUGAGUAACACGUGAGUAACCUGCCCCUCACUUCUGGAUAACCGCUUGAAAGGGUGGCUAAUACGGGGUGUUCUGGCUGUGCCGCAUGGUGUGGCUGGGAAAGAUUCACUUUUGUGUUGUUUUGGUGGGGGAUGGGCUCGCGGCCUAUCAGCUUGUUGGGGGGGUGAUGGCCUGCCAAGGCUUUGACGGGUAGCCGGCCUGGGAGGGUGGGCGGUCACACUGGGACUGAGAUACGGCCCAGACUCCGGCGGGAGGCAGCAGUGGGGGGUAUUGCACAAUGGGCGGAAGCCUGAUGCAGCGACGUCGCGGGAGGGAUGGAGGCCUUCGGGUUGUGAACCUCUUUCGCCGGUGAAGAAGGUCCUGCUCUUUGUGGUGGGGUUGACGGUAGCCGGGUUAUGAAGCGCCGGCUAACUACGUG